GACGAACGCUGGCGGCGUGCCUAACACAUGCAAGUCGAACGCAGUGGGGACGGGUGAGUAACACGUGGGUAACCUCCCAUCAGAGGGGAUAACACUUGGAAACAGGUGCUAAACCGCUACUGACGGAGGGACCCGCGGUGCAUUAGCUAGUUGGUGAGGUAACGGCUCACCAAGGCCACGAUGCAUAGCCGGCCUGAGAGGGUGAUCGGCCACACUUGAACUUAGACACGGCCCAGACUCCUACGGGAGGCAGCAGUAGGGAAUCUUCGGCAAUGGACGAAAGUCUGACCGAGCAACGCCGCGUGGAUGAAGAAGGUUUUCGGAUUGUAAAACUCUGUUGUUAGAGAAGCGGUAUCUGACCAGGAAGCCACGGCUAACUACGUGCCAGCAGCCGCGGUAAUAC
rnacentral:rRNA from 1 species